rnacentral:rRNA from 1 species
CCUACGGGGGGCUGCAGUGGGGAAUAUUGGACAAUGGGCGAAAGCCUGAUCCAGCCAUGCCGCGUGUGUGAAGAAGGCCUUCGGGUUGUAAAGCACUUUCAGUGGGGAAGAAAGCCUUGGGGCUAAUACCCUCGAGGAAGGACAUCACCCACAGAAGAAGCACCGGCUAACUCCGUGCCAGCAGCCGCGGUAAUACGGAGGGUGCGAGCGUUAAUCGGAAUUACUGGGCGUAAAGCGCGCGUAGGCGGUCUGAUAAGCCGGUUGUGAAAGCCCCGGGCUCAACCUGGGAACGGCAUCCGGAACUGUCAGGCUAGAGUGCAGGAGAGGAAGGUAGAAUUCCCGGUGUAGCGGUGAAAUGCGUAGAGAUCGGGAGGAAUACCAGUGGCGAAGGCGGCCUUCUGGACUGACACUGACGCUGAGGUGCGAAAGUGUGGGUAGCAAACAGGAUUAGAUACCCUUGUAGUC